CCUCCUCCUUUUUCCGGGCUUGGGACCGGUUACAAUCAAUGUAGGCGGAGUUAAAAUUGUACACGAAUAAAAUAUUUCGUGUACAAUUUUCUUGAAUCAAAUAAAUUAAAAAAACACAUUUCUUAAAGAAAAAUAAUUAAUUUAAAAACUUACAACAUCCUAUGUUUGGAUAUGCUGCAACUCUUCGGCCAUUAUACUAUCAACGUCUAUCAUCAUAAGCGGCAUCUCUGCUGUAGCCACGUAUGCAGCCAUUCCUUUACGAAAUCUUUUCUGUGAAUGUACAAAGGUGGAAAGAGUAGAAUUAGAAUCACCAAACACUAGUUCGGUCUGUUUCGAGUCGAGAUCGGCUGGUUUCGCUUUGCAACUCCUUAAUACGUGUCUAUUCAAAUG
rnacentral:lncRNA from 1 species